GCUGUUAAGAUGUUGCUGACUUCUGGAAUUCAAGCGACUGAAGUUCACUUCUGAUGACGUGAGGUCCAAGUGAAGAUCCUCUUUUUUGCUGAUAUAUACUCAGUACAGUCACCUCCAAGUUCUUCAGGUGGCCCCGAAUAUCCGAGGUGCACAGCUGGAGAGUACGCACAUAGCUCGCCUCUGUCCUGAUCAGCUCGUCCGCGGCCAGCCUU